rnacentral:rRNA from 1 species
UAAGGAAUAUUGGUCAAUGGACGAAAGUCUGAACCAGCCAUGCCGCGUGAAGGAUGAAGGCCCUCUGGGUUGUAAACUUCUUUUAUCUGGGACGAAAAAAGGGCUUUCUAGCUCACUUGACGGUACCAGAGGAAUAAGCACCGGCUAACUCCGUGCCAGCAGCCGCGGUAAUACGGAGGGUGCAAGCGUUAUCCGGAUUUACUGGGUUUAAAGGGUGCGUAGGUGGGCAGUUAAGUCAGUGGUGAAAUCUCCGAGCUUAACUCGGAAACUGCCAUUGAUACUAUCUGUCUUGAAUAUUCUGGAGGUGAGCGGAAUAUGUCAUGUAGCGGUGAAAUGCUUAGAUAUGACAUAGAACACCAAUUGCGAAGGCAGCUCACUACGGGAUUAUUGACACUGAGGCACGAAAGCGUGGGGAUCAAACAGG